rnacentral:tRNA from 1 species
GGGCAUGGAUGCAACGGCCAGACCUUAACAAAGUUAAUAAAAUCAAUAUUUUAUGUAAAAAUUAUUGGUCGACAUCCAAGGGGUCGAUGGUUCGAGUCCAUUCGUGCCUACCA